rnacentral:rRNA from 1 species
GGGUUGUGAGGUUAAGCGACUAAGCGUACACGGUGGAUGCCCUGGCAGUCAGAGGCGAUGAAGGGCGUGCUAAUCUGCGAUAAGCGCCGGUAAGGUGAUAUGAACCGUUAUAACCGGCGAUACCCGAAUGGGGAAACCCAGUGUGACUCGUCACACUAUCAUUAACUGAAUCCAUAGGUUAAUGAGGCGAACCGGGGGAACUGAAACAUCUAAGUACCCCGAGGAAAAGAAAUCAACCGAGAUUCCCCCAGUAGCGGCGAGCGAACGGGGAGGAGCCCAGAGCCUGAAUCAGCAUGUGUGUUAGUGGAAGCGUCUGGAAAGUCGCGCGAUACAGGGUGACAGCCCCGUACACAAAAGCGCAUGUGUUGUGAGCUCGAUGAGUAGGGCGGGACACGUGGUAUCCUGUCUGAAUAUGGGGGGACCAUCCUCCAAGGCUAAAUACUCCUGAGUGACCGAUAGUGAACCAGUACCGUGAGGGAAAGGCGAAAAGAACCCCGGCGAGGGGAGUGAAAAAGAACCUGAAACCGUGUACGUACAAGCAGUGGGAGCCCCACCACCAAAGCAUUCUCUGGUGUUGAAGGCCCUGCAAAGCAGCAUCGCGGUGGCGGAGCGUCGUUUGCGACGCCCAACACAAAAAACAAGCGGUGAGUGCUUUGGGGUGGGGUGACUGCGUACCUUUUGUAUAAUGGGUCAGCGACUUAUAUUCUGUAGCAAGGUUAACCGAAUAGGGGAGCCGUAGGGAAACCGAGUCUUAAC